UUUAUUACAGUAGGUUAACUGGCUAACCUCUUUUUUUCUUUUCAGAUAACAAGAAUCGAGUAUGUUCAUUCUAAAGGGAUAUGAAGAAGAUCAGGAGGAUAAUGAAGAAGAGGAAGGAGGACUGAGUCAAUCUGGAAAAGAGUUGAGGAAGCUGCUCGGGAAAAAUAGUGGGGUCAAUGAAUCCGAGCCAGAGCAAGAGGACGAUGACGACGAUGAUAUUGAUGACGAAAGUUCCCUGUUCUUGCACCAAAGGCUAAUAAUAACGGGGUCCAUCAAAGCUUAAUAACAACCCUCUUAAAGAGGAACCCGUCGAUAAUAGCCCCUCAAAGCCAGCAGCUGCUACAACAUCAGCUCGGGGAACCCCAUCUUCAAAUAAGUCGGCUAA